ACAAAAUGACAAAAACAUGACACAAACAACUAAAGAAGACAAAAAACAACAAAAAAGACAAAAUAUUGCAAAAAUAAGGCACAAAAUGACAAAAUCGAGAAGUAAAAUGACAAAAAAUGAGACCAAUGACAAAACAAAACAAAAAAGAGACGUACAAAGUGACAAAAAGGUGAACAAGACAAAACAAAUUACACAAAUGACAAACGAAACAAAGAAAGAAAUAAUACGACAAAAAAUAGUCAAACUACACAAGCAAGACAAAACCACGAGAAAAACGACACAAAAUUGCAAAUAAAGCAAAACACAAAAUGGCAAAAAAACAACAAAAAACGCAAGCAAGACAAAAGGAGAAAUAUAAUGACAAAAACAUGAAACAAAUGACACAAAACAAAAAAUAAAAAUAAGACAAGAAAAAUGACAAAAAAAAUCACACAAAUGACAAACGAGACAAAAGAAGAAACAAAAUGACAAAAAAUGAGACAUGACAAAACAAAAAGACAAAAAUGUCAUUAAAAACUUACAAAGACAAAAAAAAUUACACAAAUGACAAACGAAACAAAGAAACAAAACGACAAAAAAGUCAAACUACACAAAAGACAAAAACGACACACAAAAUCGCAAAUAAAGCAAAAAGAAUUGGCAAAAAACAAAAAAAACGCAAGCAAGACAAAAAAGAAUAAAUAAAAUGACAAAAACAUGAGAAACGGCAAAAGUCAGUCAAAAAAAAACAAGAAAAACAAGACAAAAUGUUACAAAAAUGAGGCACAAAAGAACAAUGAGCAGUCUAGUAUUUUACUAUAUGAUCAAAACAACGUGUCAUGGUCUAGAAACUAUUUAAAAUUUAUAGUUUUAAAAUUCACAAUCUGCAGUUAAUGUCUUCUCUGUAAUUUUGUCCUCUGGAGGACCGCUUUUGGCCCCCGGGCUUCAUGUUUGACACCCCUGUCAUUGACAGUAGACUAAUUGGGAAGAUAGGAAACAUUCUAACAGGAGAUUUACAGCACAGAGUUUGUGUUUUUGCAGCUGAACCUCUGGUGGAUCUGAAGCACUGUUCCUACUGGUGUUGGUACAGAUGGAACCACAGCAGUAAUCAGUCACAUGCUUCAACAUAUCGACUAUCUAGACCAGGGGUGUCAAACAUGCGGCCCGCGGGCCAAAACCGGCCCUCCAGAGGGUCCAAUCUGGCCUGCAGGACGACUUUGUAAAGUGUCAAAGAGAAGACAUGAACUGUAAAAUACCAGAUUGCUCAUUGUUCUUUUGCCAUUUUUUGUCUCAUUUUUUGUAAUGUUUCAUCUUUUUUGUCUGACUUUUGUUGUUUCUCAUGUUUUGUGUUUCCUUUUUGUCUCACUAGUGAUUUUUGUCUUAUUUUUGUCAUUUUUUUGUUUAGUUUUAUUCAUUGUUUUAUGUAUGGUUUAUAUCAUUUUGUGCUUUUGUUGUCUCGCUUGUGUUGUUUGUCUACUUUUUUGUGGUUUUGUUUCUUGCUUUUGUCAUUUUUGGUCUCGUUUGUGUCAUUUGUGUAAUCUUUUGUCUAGUUUUUGUCGUUUGUCCUUUUUUUGUUGUUUUGUAAAUUUUUUGGUCUUAUUUUUUGUCGUUUUAAGUCUCGGUUUUGUCAUUUUGUGUCUCAUUUUUGUAAUGUUUUGACUUGUUUUUGUAGUUUUUUGUCUUUUUUUGUCUGAUUUUAGUCAUUUUGAUCAUAAAGUAAAAUACUAUAUGGUUCAGUCUCAGACAUCUGUGACUGAAAGUUUCAAGUCACUCUUAGUGUCUCAGCAGUAACAGUAAUAGUAAUAGCAGCAAUAGCACCAGUCUCAGGGCACCAUCCACAGAUGCUGAGAUAUGAACUCGCCGAACAAAUCUGAUUAAAGUUAGCGGAAAGGCUAAUUAGAAAAUGCUCGCGUUGGGGGUUUGAAGAGUCGCAAGAAUGCAGAAGAACCAGAGCAGGAGAAUUUAUGAGAGUAAGGUCAAUGGAGGGUACAGUGUGUUUUCUCCGUGUGUUUCACAGAAACCAUUCGAUAUCCAGAGAAGUGAACAGGCCCUGCUCUGAAUGUAACCGAACAAUGAAGUCACUACAACAAACGAGCAGCGGUUCAGCCAUCCGUCUUCAUCACAGAGUGCAGGAACCUCUUCAGCUAAUUCAGUUAGUUCAAGUCAUAUUUCAGAAGCUGUGGCAGGACGGUGAAAGGCUCUGCAGCAGUUGAGUGAAUGACCCUCAGAGCAUUGUGCUGAAGUGAUUUAUUCAACUCCAAAGCUAAAGCUUCUGCUAAACCUGCGCCAGCUCUGCUUCGUCAUCAGUUUGACUUCUGUCUGAUUUCAGUCACACUACAUCCACUCACAGCAUUUAACACCAUAAAAAAAACGUCUAAUCAGGUUUAGAAUACGCACCUUUAAGCGGUUUGUCAUCUAAAGGUGCAGGUUUUGUGUUAAUACCUACAGUGAGCUCUAUGAAAACAUUUAUUUAAGUCAGAUUCAUCAACAUGUUGAAGCUUCACCCUCUAUCUCUGUCUGUCUGUCCCUCGGCCACAAACGCAUCGAUACGAACAUUAAUACCAUCUGUCCCCUUCAUCCUCGCCGAGGGAUUUGAAAGUGCUGAGUGUGGUCUAAUCCACAGCCCUCAUCUUAGCGAGCGACGCGCCGCACAACCAACCUGGCAUUCACCGCCUCCACACUACCUGCUGCUGUGGUCAAUUUAAUGUAAAGUCAUACGGAGUCAUUGUGAGAAUCCCAAUCCUCUGUGUGUCUUCGUCUCAUCUAAAAGACUAAUCGUCAUCGAGACUUACAGGAGUUCAAUCUAAAGCACCAAACUGCUCUAAAAUGGCUGAAACUGAUGGACCAGAGGGCGGCCGAGACCUGGAGGCUCCAGAGGACAACGAGCUGGACGACGAGUACAGAGCCUUGCUUCAUUUCGCCAAAUACAGCGAAGCUCGUCAUGCACGGCCUCGGGAGCAGUGGACCUCCAGGGAAAAGGCAAACUACUACAUAGACCGCUUCUUCCUGGGGUUUUUGGUCGUUUUUUUUCUCGUGCUGCUGGGAGAAUGUUGCUAUAAAAUGUGGUAUGUGACAAACGUGAAGAAGAUCGCGGAGUUUGUGUCGGAUUCUGUGGUGCUUUUGUUCGACUGGCUCCUCAAACAGGAGAGACACGAGGAGCUGGCCGAGCUGUAGGCCGUCCAAGAAGAUGAUUUCAUUGCUGGGUCGCCACUUUUUCGGAGGUUUUCUAUCACAUUCAAAGCACACGUGGUAUCACAACUCCUCAGUAAAUAAUCCAUUUGUAGCUGCAGCUUAACUAGAGGAAAUGGCUGGACGUCUUCCAUACUCCAUUUCUGUUUGUGUCUUGAUGGAAAUAAAUGCAAUAAUAUGCAA